rnacentral:lncRNA from 1 species
UUUGAAUAUCCACAUUAGCUCUUCUAAACACAAUUAUUUUAUGUGUUUUGUUAGGAGCAUACGUACGUUGGAGCUUUGACAUGAGGGGCAUCAGGAAAUCCCAUGUAAGUAAGCAAACACAAGAUUGGAGUUAAAGUGACAAGUGAAGUACCCCGUCAGUGUCGUGCAGGCACUGUUCCAUAAUGCAGCCGACCAUGUUCAUGGAUGCGUGUUGCUGUCGAUGUGAAACACGGUUAUUCAGGGAAGGUAGACCAGCUGCUAAGGUAUUCUGGACCCUUGGAUGAACAAGGGAGAUCUCAAGAUGAGAAGAACACCCUUUAAUGAUUAUGAGUCGUUCGUUGUUGUAGAUCUAACGGAUCUGAUUUUAUUAUACUAUACUGGUAGUAUCUAUGUUACUAUAAACAUUGCUAGUGGGGGUGACAGUGAAUCUGGCACCAUCACUAGCUACAUACUUCUUGUUUUUUAAUCUAUACACU